rnacentral:ncRNA from 2 species
UGAAACCGUUGGGGGUGGGGCUAAUAAAAAUAGCCUCUGAGAGAGUCCCCGGAACCUGAUCGGGAUAAGGCCUGCGUAGGAAAACGGACCAACCAAACG